GCUAGCUGGAGGGCAAUCUACACAGUUAUGACAGCUCUGAUAUCAAAGUUCACUCCUGCAUCACCACAGUUUUCCUCACAGACUGCCGUCAAGAUAGGAUGUUGCUCAACAUUAGCCAUGUGAACACUUGAGUCUUUCAUAUUAUCCAACAAGGUAUUGCCAACACUUACAACAAAAUGUUGUAUAUCUGAGCCCUGAAAUAUCAUUUGGCUUCCCGGGCCAGGAAGAUUAUGGGCUGUUAUGAGAGUUGCCUGAUUGAAAUUGCCUACAGUUUCUCCCUUUGACCAGUAGCCUCUGUUGCUCAAUCGGUAGGGAGCCAGUGCCAGUUCUACAGGGCUCCCAGGUCAAGCUCAAUGGCCUCUAACCAUGAGGUUCUUUGGCCCAAUCUGGGUCCGAAUAUGUUAUAUGUCAACUAAAUAUUGUUGCUAUAUGGCAUCCUGAAGGUACUGCUUUUUCCUACAUGUUCUAAGACUGUGGCAAAGUAUGCAACCAUUAUACUUUCUGCCAUGUUCCUGUACCAGUCUGCUUGCUCUCCCUCCUGUCUCAUGGCUGCAACAAGCAGAACUGUAGUUUCCCCCCUUGCGGUGGGUGAGGAGAAAAGUGAGCAAAGGAGAAUGGGUAGUGGCUGCAUAUUCUACUGGCUUGGAACUUUUAAAAGGAAGACUUGGAAAAGGCAUGAUAACUGGCUUGCAAUUUGACAAUUCUCAGUUCAAAAACUGUCCACCAUAUUUAAGAUUGUGUCAGAAAUUAAAUUAAAGCAUCUUGUGGCUAAAUUCCAGAAGCACUGUGUAUCCCAUGCUGCAUUUAAAACAGGUACUGUUGAGUAUACUCCCGCUACUCAUUAGUAAGAUCCUGUUGUUUUGAGGCUUAAGUAUGGUACCAGUAGUUUUAUUUGUGCAAACAAAGCUUUUUUUGUAGGAGGGGAUAUAUAUACCAAUGGCUCCCCCCAGUGCUGGUCCAAUGCAUUUUGCUAAUUGGGCUGGAACAAGAAAUUGUGGCACACCUGCCCCCAUAUUUGGGAAGUUCCUGAUCCUUUCCCAGAACCAAAAGUUAUUUUUUCCAGAAUUAUACUCCUUUUCUCUUUCACUUCCUGUAAGCAAGAUCCGUUUUCUGAACACUAAAUUUUCUGAUCACAUACAGCCCAGUCCAGUGCAAAGGGGUUUUGGAUUGUUCUGCCAUUCAUCAAAGGAUGCGAAAAGGAAUUAUAAAUUUGGCCUCAGUAAACUUAGGUUAUGUGCCCAUUUCUCAAUUCCAAGAGUACAUAGUUUAUUGAAGUCAGGCGAGUUACCCACUUCAAUGAUUUUAUGAUUAAUUAAAUGUACAACUUUGCUUUUAUUUUAAUGAACCUUGUUGUAUUCACAAUCCAAAUGCGUGAAAUGAAAAUUUUGUUCUGCAGAAUUUAAAUGAACAUUUCACACUUGCUUAAGAUCAUCAUCUGGUAUACUAUUGAGAAAUGCUGCAUAGGUUUAUAGGGAAGUUUUUAACGUUUGGUGUUUUACUGUAGUUUUAUUAUUUGUUGGAAGCUGCCCAGAGUGACUGUGGCAACCCACUCAGGUGGACAGCAUAUAAAUAGGCUUUCAAGACCUUGUACCACUGUGAGGUUGCCUGUGUAGCAGUAGUUUUUUUGGGACAAGUUCUGACAAAGACUUUAAGGUUUUCUUAGGCAAGGCCUAGAUCAGAUGAGUUCAGUCUGAUUGGCCUGGGGAACAGCAGUCUCUGAUUGGCUGAAGAUUCCAGUCAGUUUUAAAUUAGCUGUACCCUGAGGAGUUGGAAGAGAGAAAAAAUUGAUGACAGAGGUAUGAGGAAAAGCCGAGAGAAAAAGUAUAAAGCUAAGGUCUGGAUAUUAUUUCAAAUCAGUUUAGAUAUAAAGCUGCAUUUAUCAAAUCUGCACCUUCUGAAACAAUAUGUGAACAAAGCACAGCCUUUCUUUAAAAUCACACUUGUCCAAAAAUUCACAUGUAUUCAAAAAGUCACAAGUUGCUGCAAAAUGUGGAGAACUGGAUUUAAGACUGAAAAAAAGAAAAGCAAAAUUAACAAAUCCUUCCAUCCCUACUAGUGACUGAGUUGAUCUGCAAAGCUACCCUGUAUAAAGAUCUUACUAGAGGGAGAUUACUCAAGUGUGAACUAAACUGUCCAAGCCACCAAAACAAGAACUAGAGAAACUUUGGGGCAUAGAAGCAGAUUGUCCAUGGCAGCUGGACUGGAUGGCAGGAGUAAAGGCAGCAGCAGAGGUAUAUCUAAACCUGCGUUUAUGCAAGUAAGGCUGAAAAACUGGGUAUCCCUGGCAUGCAUAUAUAUAUAUAUAUAUAUAUAUAUAUAUAUGACAAAAAGACAAGAAACACACACAUAACUGGUAUCCUCCAUACUGCUGGAGUUGUUGUUGAAAAUACACAGAUUUCCUGUGUUGGUGGUCCAGACUGGUUCCUUCUUGAGUUAUUGACAGAAAAACAAUUGUCCCGGAACAAUGAAAUCUAAUGUCCUGGAAUAUCUCAAACAGUAAGAUACUUACAACCAUAGAAUUAUAGGGUUGGAAGAGACCACAAAGGUCAUUGAGUCCAGUACCCUGCAAUGCAGGAAUCUUUUGCCCACUGUGGGGCUUGAACCCACAACCCUGAAAUUAAUACUCUCAUGCUCUGCCAGCUGAGACUAUUAUCAUGCUUGCUUUGUUAGUUGAUAUUAUUAGAAUUUGUAUUGUGAUGCUUUCAUUUGUUGGCUUUUAGUACUGUGUUUAUUUUAUUGCAUUUUAGGAUUUCUCUUAAAUGGUUGGUUUACUUAUUUGUUGUGCAGAGAACAUAUGUUAUAGAGUGACUCACAAGUAAAUACCAUACAAAAAUUGAACAGUUAGACUGAUUGGAAGUUGUAGAUGGCACCUAGAACAAAAUUCUUCUCCAAAUGCAACCUAGCCUUAUACACUGAGAAGAACAUUUCACUGGACUCAGAUGUGAUUAGUUUUCAGCUAGGUAUGCAUAGGAUUGGGCUAUUGGUCUUUAAUAUGAAAUAGUGGAUUCAUGAAAAGGUGGAUUCACAACAAGCAUGUUUUUAACUCUCAAACUGCUGCUGACAAGUUGUUGCCCUCCAACUGUUUUGGACCAUAACUUCUAUCAGCCCCAGCCAUUGCAGCAACAGAUUGGUGAAAGCUGCUCUAAAAACUCCCUUUCAUCCUGAAACUAUGUGUGCUUUGUCAGCAGAAAACGAAUAAUGAAUAAAUGGCUGCAUAAGUGGAAAAAAUAUAAUAAAAUGAAUGAAUGAAAAUGAAUAGGUCAUAUUGUAGACCAGUAUUCAAUACUUAUAAUCUACUAUUGAACAUAGGCAUAGCACUUAAGAGUAUUCAGAAGGACUUUGCAUGCAUUACAUCAGUAAUCCUUCCAGCAAUAGGUCAGUGUUAUUAUCCCCCCACUGUAGAUGGUCUGCCCAGUAUGAUAGUAGUCUACCUAAAGCCAUUUACUGUGUUCCUGGCAGAAAUGAGAUUUGGCUAGGAACCACUUUGAUCCACUAUACUACAUAACAUGAUGAAUAACCAUUCACUGGGGAAUCUCAAAGGGUGCUCUUAAACUAGAAUGCUUCAUUCUCCAGAAUAGUUAUUUAAAGCCUGACAAUGGGAUGCCUCUUUUUUCAAAAUAAUUAUUCCAGCACUGGACAUCCAUGUAACAUAGGGUUCUUCCUGACUCUCAAAUGCUUUCCAAUUUGGCAUUCAGAAAUAUUUGACUCAGUUCACUGUGCAAAAACUAGGAAGCAACUUACAUUGAAACAGUGCAAGGUGCUUUUAGUCAGCUACUGUAGUUUUUGGUAGGGAUAUGUGGGGAUAGGGUGGGAUACUAACAAAUAUUAGCAUAUUUUUAAUUCACCAAAGUCCCUUGGGUAGAUAGUGAGUUAUAAAGCAACAAAUAAAGGAAUGAAUGACUGUGACACUAACCUUAGUUUAAGUAUUUGCAUUCAGUUUUGCAAAUUUAGGCUACAAUCUUAUGCCCACUUACCAGGUAGUAAGCACCAUAGGUCUCAAUCGACUUACUACUGAAUGGGCAUGAAAGGUAUCUCAAAGGUCAUCAGAUCCAAUUUGCUGCUCUGGGAGGAUCCCCUAGAACAGUUGAGAGGUGUUCUUCCUUUGCCCCCCCCCCCCCCCAGCAUUCAAUAAAUAUACUGUAAAUAUACUGUGCUAGGAAUCCAUUGCUUCAGUCCUUCCUUCCACAUAACAUUGUCCGUCUUCUCUGUGACAAGCUUUUAGUUAUUAAAGAAAACCUUGCUACAGCACCUACACUGCUGCUGGGUCCUAUGCAAGUUAGUAACUUCCAUGUUUAGAACCAUAUUGUGGAAAAAAUAUAUAAAUAUAUGACCCUUAUAGGUGUGCUUAUGUAUCCUUUUGAGAUAGUUUGCAGGUAUGUUAAGUUUCACAUGGGCCAGAAGGUUUACCUUCUCCUUCGUUCAAGUAGACAUACUCUUUCUACAUUUUCAUUUUAGAUGAACAAUCAAGGACACUCCUGUGAUUCCCAGUCAUUGUGUGGGAAGCAGUCUCCUGUGUUUCCUAAUAUUUCACCUACCCCCCCCCCUUUAUGGAAUCAUAGAUGUAAUUAUUCAUGAAUAAUUUGUUUUUGCUACUAGCUAUGAUGUUUUGUGCUUCUUUUCAUCACAGUAUCAGCUUCAACUGCAUAGCAAGAAUGCUAUGGUCAAAGCAUCUCUAAAUAUGGUCAAAGCAACAGGUCAAAGCAUCUCUAAAUAUAUAAAAAAACGGACUUCAAGGUUGCUGUGACUUAACUUGCUCCGUCAGUUCAGUGGGACUUAGUCAUGACUAACUUUAGUUGGAUCAGGGUCUUUUGUCUUAACUUGAUAGCUAUGUGGGGACUUCAAAAUUAGAACCUGCACUUGUAGACCGCAUGUUUGGAAAUCAAAAUUUAACAUCAGAAAAGCAGCUUGUUACAAUGACCAAAAGGCUUCAAGAUAAAUAAGGUUUAGGACCCUGUGUUGGGUAGGUUGCAUAUACACCUAAUGAACAAAGCAGGUUUGACUAUUCUGCAGUGUCUAUAGAAGAUCAAUGAUCUGAAAGCAAUUUUAAUUACAUGCUUGUGUUCCACUCAAAAUGUUUUGACUUUGUCUGGAAGUUCAGGCAUACUAUAAACAGAUAAAUUGCUUCAGCUCAAUUGAAAGUUGCAAUGUUCCAGAUAUGUUCUGCUAAAAUAAUACAGAAAAGAAAGUAAAUUCUAUUGUCAGGGCUUUCUUUGCUAUAUAUAGGAACUGUAUUGAGGGGAAAUUGCUUUUUACCCACUAUUCACCCCUCUACAUAGAAGGUAGAGAAUGGCGGGGGUGGGGGACUCUAAAGAAGAUCCAAGUGUGCCUAUCUGGAAUAACCAAAAAGAAACACACACAUACACAAAUCUGAGCACAGUAGUACAGAAGUAGAAGAUAAGUGCUGACAAAGUGCUUCCAAGAUGACUUGCUUUAGGAAGCUUGUAUAUCAGGGAUGGGGAUGUGGCCCUCCUGUUGGACCACAAUUCCCAUCAUCCCUAACCACUGGCCAUGUUGACUGGGGCUGAUGGAAGUCCAACAGGUUCCCAGCCUGGUUGUACACAGUGUAGAUACACAGUGGAACUGCAGAGGCACUUCCUACAUUAGCCCCAGUGAGCCCUGAAGCACAGAGACAGCAU